UACGUAGGGUGCAAGCGUUGUCCGGAAUUAUUGGGCGUAAAGAGCUCGUAGGCGGUUUGUCGCGUCGAAUGUGAAAACCCGGAGCUCAACUCCGGGCCUGCAGUCGAUACGGGCGGACUUGAGUGUUGCAGGGGAGAAUGGAAUUCCUGGUGUAGCGGUGAAAUGCGCAGAUAUCAGGAGGAACACCAAUUGCGAAGGCAGCUCGCUGGGACGUUACUGACGCUGAGACGCGAAAGCGUGGGGAGCAAACAGG
rnacentral:rRNA from 1 species